rnacentral:lncRNA from 1 species
UUGAGGAGACCCUCUACCAGUCUACCGUUGAUGGACGCAAAAUAGUUGAUGUUCUUAUUGAGCAAAACAUUGUUCCUGGUAUCAAAGUUGACAAGGUAUAGUAUAUUAACCUGCACCCACAACUUGAAAAAGGACCAUAGUAAAGAGUUAAUGCUGCCGGUGAGAAAAUAUAGUGAACUUUUAGUAACUUUUAUUUUGUAUAAUAUUGGUCUGAGCAGAAACUUAAAUGGAAUGACAUGAUCAGUAAGGAUUUGUAUAACCAACCCCAACUAGCUUGGUUAUAUAUGUAGUUGUACUAACAAUAGAAGAGGAAAGGCAGGGUUAUUAUAUAUGUUUAACAAGAACAAGUUAUACUGAAAUGAGAUAUCUGUCAAUCCCCUAAUCAUUAUAUCUGUUCACAGGGUUUGGUUCCACUUGCUGGUUCAAAUGAUGAGUCAUGGUGUCAAGGUCUUGACGGACUUGCCUCCCGCUCUGCUGCAUACUACCAACAGGGAGCACGUUUCGCCAAAUGGUACAUUUGAAGUCCUCAUUCACUUUGCUAUUUUCUCAUAAUAGACACAACAGAGGAAGAAAAAAUCUCUAUGGACGAUACCAAUUAGUUGUUUCAAAGAGUUUUUUCAUCAUGUUAGAAGUUUAUAUGCUAGUCUAUCCUUAUUUUGCACAAUAUUGGUAUGAGAUGAAUUAAAAUAGAGCGACAAGUCAGUGAGGAUUCAUAUAACCGACCCAUCUUAAGAUUAAUGCUAAAAUUAUGGUAACUUGUAGGCGUACCGUGGUGAGCAUUCCCAACGGACCGUCUGCAUUGGCUGUGAAGGAAGCAGCAUGGGGAUUGGCUCGCUAUGCUGCCAUUUCUCAGGACAAUGGUUUGGUCCCAAUUGUGGAGCCAGAGAUCUUGUUGGACGGUGAACACGGCAUUGACAGGACUUUUGAGGUAGCACAGAAGGUCUGGGCUGAAGUCUUCUUCUACUUGG